UGGCUAUGAGGAUGAUAGUCUGACGUGAGUUACGGUGAUCAUUUUAUACGCUAUUCUGAGCCAACA
rnacentral:snoRNA from 1 species